rnacentral:rRNA from 1 species
UUGCCUCAGUAACGGCGAGUGAAGCGGCAACAGCUCAAAUUUGAAAUCUGGCUCUUUCAGGGUCCGAGUUGUAAUUUGUAGAAGAUGCUUCGGGUGUGGUUCCGGUCUAAGUUCCUUGGAACAGGACGUCAUAGAGGGUGAGAAUCCCGUAUGUGACCGGCUACCUUCGCUCAUGUGAAGCUCUUUCGACGAGUCGAGUUGUUUGGGAAUGCAGCUCAAAAUGGGUGGUAAAUUUCAUCUAAAGCUAAAUAUUGGCCAGAGACCGAUAGCGCACAAGUAGAGUGAUCGAAAGAUGAAAAGCACUUUGGAAAGAGAGUUAAAUAGUACGUGAAAUUGUUGAAAGGGAAGCGCUUGCAAUCAGACUUGCACGCAGUUGAUCAUCCGGUGUUCUCACCGGUGCACUCUGCUGCGUUCAGGCCAGCAUCGGUUCUGGUGGUUGGAUAAAGGCCUUGGGAAUGUAGCUCCUUUCGGGGAGUGUUAUAGCCCUCGGUGCAAUGCAGCCUACCGGGACCGAGGACCGCGCUUCGGCUAGGAUGCUGGCGUAAUGGUUGUAAGCGACCCGUCUUGAAACACGGACCAAGGAGUCUAACAUCUAUGCGAGUGUUUGGGUGUCAAACCCAUACGCGUAAUGAAAGUGAACGGAGGUGAGAACCCUUAAGGGUGCAUCAUCGACCGAUCCUGAUGUCUUCGGAUGGAUUUGAGUAAGAGCAUAGCUGUUGGGACCCGAAAGAUGGUGAACUAUGCGUGAAUAGGGUGAAGCCAGAGGAAACUCUGGUGGAGGCUCGCAGCGGGUUCUGACGUGCAAAUCGAUCGUCAAAUUUGCGCAUAGGGGCGAAAGACUAAUCGAACCAUCUAGUAGCUGGUCU